AGUCUCUCUUGCAAGUAUGCAGUGUCCCUAAGGGAAUAGUGACCCAUACAUGGCCGCCCAUAAUAGCUACUUUCCCAGGAAUAGGGGGGAAGAGAAUGUUUGUACAACCAACUUUGAGAUUGAUCUGUUUGGAAAAAGACAUUUGCCUUCCUCAAAUAAUGAUUUCAGAAAACUGAGAUCACGUAGAAAAAGAAUAAUAAAUAAGUUAAAUGGAAGGAACUACUUCAAGAUGAAAUAUAUAACAAUGAUAAGCUUAUUUAAAAGAAGAGCGCAGUAAGUGUAAAGGAAAAUAAGAUAGGAAAUACUGUUAAACAUGGAGGAAAAGACAGAAUGUCUUUUAUUCAGAUUUUGGAGCC